rnacentral:rRNA from 1 species
CGCUGGCGGCGUGCUUAACACAUGCAAGUCGAACGAUGAACCCGGAGCUUGCUCUGGGGGAUUAGUGGCGAACGGGUGAGUAACACGUGAGUAACCUGCCCUGGACUCUGGGAUAAGCGUUGGAAACGACGUCUAAUACCGGAUAGGACCCUGGAUCGCAUGAUCUGGGGUGGAAAGUUUUUCGGUCUGGGAUGGACUCGCGGCCUAUCAGCUUGUUGGUGAGGUAAUGGCUCACCAAGGCGUCGACGGGUAGCCGGCCUGAGAGGGUGACCGGCCACACUGGGACUGAGACACGGCCCAGACUCCUACGGGAGGCAGCAGUGGGGAAUAUUGCACAAUGGGCGCAAGCCUGAUGCAGCAACGCCGCGUGCGGGAUGACGGCCUUCGGGUUGUAAACCGCUUUUAGUAGGGAAGAAGGGCUUCGGCUUGACGGUACCUGCAGAAAAAGGACCGGCU